rnacentral:rRNA from 1 species
ACUCAAAUGAAUUGACGGGGGCCCGCACAAGCGGUGGAGCAUGUGGUUCAAUUCGACGCAACGCGAAGAACCUUACCCAGGCUCGAAAUGUAGUGGACAAGUAUGGAAACAUACUCUCUUACCUUCGGGUAAGUCGCUAUAUAGGUGCUGCAUGGCUGUCGUCAGCUCGUGUCGUGAGAUGUUGGGUUAAGUCCCGCAACGAGCGCAACCCUUGUCGUUAGUUACCAGCGGGUAAAGCCGGGGACUCUAACGAGACUGCCUGUGACAAACAGGAGGAAGGUGGGGAUGACGUCAAGUCCUCAUGGCCCUUACGUCUGGGGCUACACACGUGCUACAAUGGCCGGUACAGAGAGAAGCAAGACCGCGAGGUGGAGCAAAUCUUCAAAACCGGCCCCAGUUCGGAUUGGAGUCUGCAAUUCGACUCCAUGAAGUUGGAAUCGCUAGUAAUCGCGGAUCAGAACGCCGCGGUGAAUACGUUCCCGGGCCUUGUACACACCGCCCGU